rnacentral:lncRNA from 1 species
CAUCUUCUUUUAUUUUACUUAUUUCUAUUGAAAGGAAGGUGAAUUCCAUACAAAUUCUUAAAAGUAUAGUGAAUUGUAAAUAUAUUUCUAUAAUGUUCAAUUUUUAUAUAAUUUUCCUACUAACGUAUUAAUAUUUUCAAAUAUGUCUUUAUGAUUUGUAAUCGUUAAAAUACUGUUUAUUUUACAAGUAAAAUGACUUUUUUACCAUCAUAAAUAUAUACUUCUAAAAAUUCUAACUAAAAAGAUCAUUCGUCUCAUUAACUAAUCAUGAUUAGGUAUUUAAUCUAUGGUUAAUUAAAAUUUUCUAACGGAUUCUAAUAAUAUAGAUAUAUUUGAAAACGUGAGGAUUUUUCGAAGACAACAUAUGAAAGUUGAAUUUUAUAGAGAUAUUUGCAAUUCAUUAUAUUUGCAGGGACUUCUAUACAAUUAACCCAUUGAAAGAAAA